rnacentral:rRNA from 1 species
CCAGCUCCAAUAGCGUAUACUAAAGUUGUUGCAGUUAAAAAGCUCGUAGUUGAAUUUCUGGUCUCGGACAGCGGUCUGCCUCAACCGAGGUAUGUACUAUCUGUCUAAGUCCAUCCUCGGGGAAAACUUAUCUCUGAUUAAGUUCAGGGGUAUGGGAUCCUCGUCAUUUACUGUGAGCAAAAUAGAGUGUUCAAAGCAGGCUUAUGCCGUUGAAUAUUUUAGCAUGGAAUAAUAAGAUAAGACCUUGGUCGAUUUUGUUGGUUUGUACUCCAAGGUAAUGAUUAACAGGGAUAGUUGGGGGUAUUCGUAUUCAAUUGUCAGAGGUGAAAUUCUUGGAUUUAUGGAAGACGAACUACUGCGAAAGCAUUUACCAAGGAUGUUUUCA